rnacentral:tRNA from 1 species
AACUUUCUUGUAAAGGACCCAAGAAAGGCAUUACAGCUUCCAAGAAUUCUUGCAUUGUUUAUCUUAUAUAUUCG